GUGCAAAGGUAGCAUAAUCAUUAGAGGUUUAAUUGAAAUCUAGAAUGAAGGGUCGGACAAAGAGAAAAGCUGUCUUUAUAAUAUAAAUUGAAGUUUACCUUUAAGUGAAAAGGCUUGAAUAGAUCGAAGGGACGAUAAGACCCUAUAAAGCUUUAUAUGUUAAUCAAAUUUAAUUGAUUUUAUAUUAUAAAGGUUGAAUUUGAUUGUUUUAUUCUGUUGGGGUGAUAUGAGUAUAAUUUAAGAUAACUGCUUAAGAAUAAUACUGUGAUAGAAGAUUCUUUUGUAUGAUCCUUGUUUGAAGAUUGAAAAAUCAAGUUACUUUAGGGAUAACAGCGUUAUUUUUUUUGAGAGUUCAUAUCGAAAGAGAAGAUUGCGACCUCGAUGUUGAAUUAAAAUGUCUAUAUAAUGUAGCCGUUAUAUAAGAAGGUCUGUUCGACCUUUAAAUUUUUACAUGAUUUGAGUUCA
rnacentral:rRNA from 1 species